rnacentral:rRNA from 1 species
AGCGAACGCUGGCGGCAGGCCUAACACAUGCAAGUCGAACGUAGCCUUCGGGCUUAGUGGCGGACGGGUGAGUAACACGUGGGAACGUACCUUUUGGUUCGGAAUAACGCAGAGAAAUUUGCGCUAAUACCGAAUGAGCCCUUCGGGGGAAAGAUUUAUCGCCGAAAGAUCGGCCCGCGUUGGAUUAGGUAGUUGGUGUGGUAAAGGCGCACCAAGCCUACGAUCCAUAGCUGGUCUGAGAGGAUGAUCAGCCACACUGGGACUGAGACACGGCCCAGACUCCUGCGGGAGGCAGCAGUGGGGAAUCUUGCGCAAUGGGCGAAAGCCUGACGCAGCCAUGCCGCGUGAAUGAUGAAGGUCUUAGGAUUGUAAAAUUCUUUUACCAGGGACGAUAAUGACGGUACCUGGAGAAAAAGCCCCGGCUAACUUCGUGCCAGCCGCCGCCGUAAAAC